GCUUACGGACUUUCUUCUCAAUCUCGCCGAGCAUGUAUUCGAAGAAACUGAAAUCGGCGAACGACGUGAGUAGCAGCGGAGGAGGAUUUGGCGGCUCUGAGACCUACUGUAUUCAGCAGUGUUCCUCGAUUAUACAACAGAAUAUAUGAUGGUAUCACUAAUGCAGUAAAAUCCUCUGGCGGGAUGAAAGAGAGGCUCUUCAAUGCUGCCUAUAAUUCAAAGAAGCAGGCUCUCCUAAAUGGAAAGAAUGCUUCUGCAAUAUGGGACAGGCUGGUUUUCAAUAGGAUAAAGGACAAACUUGGAGGCCGGGUUCGUUUUAUGACGUCUGGGGCUUCACCUCUGUCUCCUGAAGUGAUGAAAUUUAUGAAAAUAUGCUUUGGAGCAAGGGUUUUAGAGGGAUAUGGGAUGACUGAAACAGCUUGUGUUAUAAGUGGAAUGGACGAGGGUGAUAACCUCAUUGGACAUUUUUGCUCUCCUAAUCCAGCUUGUGAAAUAAAGCUUGUGGAUGUCCCAUAAAUGAACUACACAUCGGCAGAUCAGCCCCAUCCCCGCGGCAAAAUUUGUGUUAGGGGUCCUAUUGUUUUUAGAGGCUAUUACAAAGAUGAAGUUCAAACGAGAGAAGUGGUUAUGAAGAUGGAUGGCUUCACACUGGAGAUAUAGGCCUGUGGCUUCCGGGAGGACGUCUACAGAUUAUUGACAGGUGCUUUAAUUGUUAUCCACUGUUUCACUAGUAACUACAAAUGCGUUGGCUCACAAACACUAACUAUCAUCUUAGUAAACUUUCCUCAAUUCCUUGAAUAGGAAGAAGAACAUCUUCAUGUAAUCAGUUCUUGUAUUGUGUAUCUUGUGAGUAGACUACUUGUGUGAUAUGUUUUCUUUAUA